rnacentral:rRNA from 1 species
GGGUGAGUAACGCGUGAGCAAUCUGCCUUUAAGAGGGGGAUAACAGUCGGAAACGACUGCUAAUACCGCAUAACGUAUGGAAUUCGCAUGAUUUCCAUACCAAAGGAGCAAUCCGCUUUUAGAUGAGCUCGCGUCUGAUUAGCUAGUUGGCGGGGUAACGGCCCACCAAGGCGACGAUCAGUAGCCGGACUGAGAGGUUGAACGGCCACAUUGGGACUGAGACACGGCCCAGACUCCUACGGGAGGCAGCAGUGGGGAAUAUUGCGCAAUGGGGGAAACCCUGACGCAGCAACGCCGCGUGAUUGAAGAAGGCCUUCGGGUUGUAAAGAUCUUUAAUUCGGGACGAAAAAAAUGACGGUACCGAAAGAAUAAGCUCCGGCUAACUACGUGCCAGCAGCCGCGGUAAUACGUAGGGAGCAAGCGUUAUC